UGUGGAACCUCAUUACAUGUAGUGUGGCGGGUUUAAUGGUUCUAGCUCGGGUCAGAAUCAGCUGGAGAACAAUGUUUCGCAGGUGUUACAGUAAUGUUCAAAUCUAACACUUCACUGAAGGUAGCACACCACAAAUACACCAUG